rnacentral:misc_RNA from 1 species
GAUGAAGAACGUAGCGAAAUGCGAUAAGUAAUGUGAAUUGCAGAAUUCCGUGAAUCAUCGAAUCUUUGAACGCACAUUGCGCCCUCUGGUAUUCCGGGGGGCAUGCCUGUCCGAGCGUCAUUGCUGCCCUCAAGCACGGCUUGUGUGUUGGGCCUCCGUCCUCCUCCCGGGGGACGGGCCCGAAAGGCAGCGGCGGCACCGCGUCCGGUCCUCGAGCGUAUGGGGCUUCGUCACCCGCUCUUGUAGGCCCGGCCGGCGCUUGCCGACACAUCAAUCUUUUUUCCAGGUUGACCUCGGAUCAGGUAGGGAUACCCGCUGAACUUAAGCAUAUCAAUAAGCGGAGGA